rnacentral:rRNA from 1 species
UACAGAGGGUGCGAGCGUUGUUCGGAAUCACUGGGCGUAAAGGGCGUGUAGGCGGGAAGUAAAGUCAGAUGUGAAAUCCCUGGGCUCAACCCAGGAACUGCACUCGAAACUGCCUUUCUUGAGUGCCGGAGAGGAAAGCGGAAUUCCUGGUGUAGAGGUGAAAUUCGUAGAUAUCAGGAGGAACACCAGUGGCGAAGGCGGCUUUCUGGACGGUAACUGACGCUGAGACGCGAAAGCGUGGGGAGCAAACAGG